rnacentral:rRNA from 1 species
UACGUAGGGUGCGAGCGUUAAUCGGAAUUACUGGGCGUAAAGCGUGCGCAGGCGGUGAGUUAAGUCUGAUGUGAAAGCCCCGGGCUCAACCUGGGAAUGGCAUUGGAAACUGGCUCGCUGGAGUAUGGCAGAGGGGGGUGGAAUUCCGGGUGUAGCGGUGAAAUGCGUAGAGAUGGGGAGGAACACCGAUGGCGAAGGCGGGCCCCUGGGCCAAUACUGACGCUCAGGCACGAAAGCGUGGGGAGCAAACAGG